rnacentral:rRNA from 1 species
UAAUUGAAGAGUUUGAUCAUGGCUCAGAUUGAACGCUGGCGGCAGGCCUAACACAUGCAAGUCGAGCGGUAACAGGAAUUAGCUUGCUAAUUUGCUGACGAGCGGCGGACGGGUGAGUAAUGCCUAGGGAUCUGCCCAGUCGAGGGGGAUAACAGUUGGAAACGACUGCU